rnacentral:rRNA from 1 species
UAUUUGUGUACACUUAACUAAAAAAGAAAAUCUGUUAGUUGUACCUUUUGUAUCAGGGGGGUUUAAAAAUUUCUCUACUAGGGACUCGAUUGAAGUAGAUCUUCUUUUUUUGCUUUGGUUGUAAUCAAAGUUAAAAAACUUUAAGAGGUGAAAAAUGUUCGGUGUUUCUUGUAUCUAGUUACUUUAAAGUUGAAGGGGUAAGCUCUUUAUUUUUUAUGCCGUAAAGUUAGUAGAGAGAGCUAGGCUCUAGAUUAGCCAUGCUAGUAUUUUGUUAAAAAUAGUCACCUCAAACAUACAGAAAUAAAAUUAACAAGGUGCGUAAGUGAGCUAAACCUUACACUAAUAAUGAAUUUAUUGCAUAAAGGAAGGAGUAAGAAAAUAACUCAACCCCAGUCAGAAAGUUUAGCAAAAACAUUUCUGCUUGAAUAGUAAGAAGUAAGACCUGCCCGGUGGAUCCUCAACGGCUGCGGUACUUUGACCGUGCAAAGGUAGCAUAAUCACUUGCUUCUUAAUUGGCGGCUGGAAUGAAAGGUUAAACUGACCGAGCUAGUUUGUAUUUCUAGAUAGAACAUUUAAGUCAAGGUAAAAAUUCUUUGAUACCCUAGGGGACGAUAAGACCCUAGAAGCUUGAUAGUGAGUUAAGGCUUUAGUUUUACCGGUAACUUUAGUUUACUGGGGCGGUGACGGUGCCUAAACCACUUAGACCUUAGCUGAUCCCCUUCAUAGGGAUAGAUUGGUGUAGUUACUCUAGGGAUAACAGUGCUAUAUUUUUGGAGAGAUCAUAUCGAUAAGUAUGCU